rnacentral:rRNA from 1 species
UAGGGAAUCUUCGGCAAUGGACGAAAGUCUGACCGAGCAACGCCGCGUGAGUGAAGAAGGUUUUCGGAUCGUAAAACUCUGUUGUUAGAGAAGAACGUUGCAUAGAGUGGAAAAUUAUGCAAGUGACGGUAUCUAACCAGAAAGGGACGGCUAACUACGUGCCAGCAGCCGCGGUAAUACGUAGGUCCCGAGCGUUGUCCGGAUUUAUUGGGCGUAAAGCGAGCGCAGGUGGUUUAAUAAGUCUGAUGUAAAAGGCAGUGGCUCAACCAUUGUGUGCAUUGGAAACUGUUAGACUUGAGUGCAGUAGAGGAGAGUGGAAUUCCAUGUGUAGCGGUGAAAUGCGUAGAUAUAUGGAGGAACACCGGUGGCGAAAGCGGCUCUCUGGACUGUCACUGACACUGAGGCUCGAAAGCGUGGGUAGCAAACAGGAUUAGAUACCCUGGUAGUCCACGCCGUAAACGAUGAGUGCUAGUUGUUGGGGCUAU